rnacentral:rRNA from 1 species
UACGUAGGGGGCAAGCGUUAUCCGGAUUUACUGGGUGUAAAGGGAGCGUAGACGGCAUGGCAAGCCAGAUGUGAAAUACCGGGGCUCAACCCCGGGACUGCAUUUGGAACUGUUAAGCUGGAGUGUCGGAGAGGCAGGCGGAAUUCCUAGUGUAGCGGUGAAAUGCGUAGGUAUUAGGAGGAACACCAGUGGCGAAGGCGGCCUGCUGGACGAUAACUGACGUUGAGGCUCGAAAGCGUGGGGAGCAAACAGG